UACGAAGGGGGCUAGCGUUGUUCGGAAUUACUGGGCGUAAAGCGAACGUAGGCGGUGUUCUAUGUCAGAGGUGAAAGCCUGGGGCUCAACUCCAGAAUUGCCUUUGAAACGGGAACGCUUGAGUCCGAGAGAGGAUGGCGGAAUUCCUAGUGUAGAGGUGAAAUUCGUAGAUAUUAGGAAGAACACCGGUGGCGAAGGCGGCCAUCUGGCUCGGGUACUGACGCUCAGGUUCGAAAGCGUGGGGAGCAAACAGGG
rnacentral:rRNA from 1 species